rnacentral:tRNA from 1 species
GGAAGCCAAUCUCGCGGUAAAGGCGAAGAUCUGCCUCCCACGCAGAAGGUCGCGGGUUCAAAUCCCGUCUCCC